GUGCCUGGGGAAAAUGAGAGAAGGCAAACAUUCAAAAGGCUUUGAAUCUCACGAACACAGACUAAUCAUGGAAGUAAAAGUCAGUGAGGAACUGCGAGUCUGUGUGAAAAGACAGUGCCUUUGAUUUUCAUGAGAAAAUUGCAAAAAAAAAAAAAGCUCAGUAACCAGAUUAUUGGGUACCAUAUUGGGUACACCGAGUUUCUAUAUUCCCCUACUUUCACACUGAAUUUACCUUUCUAGCCCCUUUUCAUAGCAGGGGGUCAAUUUUUUUCUGCCACUUCCCUGCAGGACUUGGAGUUUUCUAAAGUGACAUCUGUCAUGCACCUGAGUGGAGAGCCAUCCCAAGGAAAAGAUCCACAUAUUGGGAGCUGACCUUUCACAUUAUUCUUCCCAAUACCACAGUGAGCAAAUCUGUCCAAAAUGGUAAUAUCAACCCUCGAGGUUACAAAUAUCUAGCUGCUGAAAUGAAUGGAAGAGUCAGCCCUUCCAGGUACCCCAAGCAAAUUCCCUUUAUUAGAACUUCAUAGAAUACACAUCAACUCUGUUCUUGUUGCCCAAGUAGAAUUCCAUACUCACGAUCUGCCGUAUAAAACGAAAGACCUGACUGAUGAAGUUCAGCUCUUCAUUCCUCACUUGGGAGGUUUUUUUCUGGAAAUCUUUUUUUUUUUUUUUUUUUUGUCUUUAUCAUUUUAACAUUAUCAGUGUGUCUUUCUAUUUGCUUGCAUAGAACUCAUUUUUACAUGUUUCAAUUAGUUCAACAAAUGAAAAUCGAACCUACUCUACAUAAGGCGAAGCAUCAGAUGCUCUAUUAAAAAUUUCUUUCACCCAUCUGUCUUUCGUUUCAGUACAUUUUGAAAUGACAAAUGAGUAAAUCUCAAAAUAAGAAGCAGCUUGGACUUCUGAUACAUAACUACAAUUAUCACUUACUAACUGGGUAUACUUGAGGAUAUUUUUUUAAAUCUCUCAGAACCUCAGAACCCAUCAUCCUUUGUAAAAUGAAAGUAAUAGUAUCUAUUUCACCAAGUGUUGCCUUCCACGCAGUAAAUGGUAGCUGCUCACAAUUAAACGGAGAUCGUAUUCGUACGCAAGACUGGCACAUAGUAUGCAAAAGCAGUUUGUAAACUACAAAUGUUAUACGAUUACAAGAUAUUAUUUUUUAUAAAUAGCUCUAAUAAUUUUAAAUUUGACUCAUGCUCACUACCGUAAGCUGGCAUAGCUUGGAGAUUUGUUUGGCCACCGGGCUUCAGAGCGAAGACUUGAUAAGGGUAUUGCCAGCUCUCAUCUGGACCCUGGGGCCUGUUUGGUUGUUGUCUGUGCAGAGCCUGACCUUUGCCUGACAUUCCCCCCUGGGAGCCAUCUGAGACGCUCCCAGCAGACACACAGAGAAGUCGGAAGCUUAACUUCCUAAGGGGUCAUUACAUUAGUUCUGCAGCCUGAUGACAAGCCAUCCGUAGGAAAUGUUGAAAACCCAAAUCCUUCUGUCCAAUUGAAGACACUUUCAAUAAGCAAGGUCUCCACGAAAUGAACAAGAAUGCCAUCAUGAGACAGGAACACUUCAGUGGGCAGUGGGGCUUGUUCAUUAGUUGGAGGCCACGCUCAGAAGCUUCUGAGCCCCUUGAUGCUGUCAUAGAGCAACACUCUUCCAGAUUCAUUUCCAAAGUCAUUCAUCAGCCAUCCAAGAUUUGGGAGAAGAAACUCACAUGAGACUAAAUUUAUUCUGGAUUGUUCCAAUGAGAAAACGAAAAUAUAUGGGGUGAUUUUUUUCAAGAGACCAGUUACAACACAAUAGAAAACCAUUGUUUUUAAUGAUUUGAGCCAUCCAACAAUGAAAUGAAUUUUUGCUAAUGUAUAAUUUUCACUGAAAGUGUUCAAGCAAACUCUAGGUGACCACUUAUGCAGUGAUAGAGGACUUAUGUAUUUCAAAGUCCCUUUGAAAGCCUAGAAUCUGAUUCCAAGAAUAUCUCAGUAAUUAUUUUAUAGUCACAUCAAAUAUAUAUUAAAAUCUGCAUGCAUCAAGCCUUUACUCCUCCAGGUGUGUGCUCAAAUGUCACCUUAUUAUAGAGAUCUUACCUGCAUGCAAUAUUAUCACCACAACCUUCUCUCUUCCCUGUUACCCUGUUCUAUUUCUCUCCAUAGAGCUGCCAGAUAUGGUUUGCAUUUAUUUGUUUAUUUAUAUUUUGUCUGUUUCCUCCAACUAAAGAAUGUAAACUCCACAAAGGAAGGGAUUUUGUUGGUUUUCUUCACUACUCUAACCCCAGCACCUAAAUAGGAAUCUGGCAUAAAGUUGAUUGUGUUUAAUCAACUGUCAAAUAAAAAUAAUAUUAAAAUGUUACAGAAAAAUUAAACAAGGGAGGGGGGUGGACGGGAGAAAGAGGAAAAACACAAUUCCACUAUUUUUUUUGUACAUAAUUACAUACCCCUUGUAUUUUCUUCUCAUCUCUUUGCUUUCAAAAAACACCUAGGUUUUUAUACAGCUAUAGUCAUUAUUUUACCUAACAUGUGUUAUACAGCUGAAUAACUCUCAUCUCAUUCACCAAAUCUGGCUAUUGUGAUUUGAUGUCAUUUCCAAAAAUCAAACCCAUUUUCACAUAAAAAAAAGUGUGUGACCAGUGAGGCUACACAAAAGGUAUAUGCUACAGCCCAUAAAAAACCAACGAACUCACCAUUUCUAAUUUCAUAAUCAUCGCUCUCAUCAGUAUCAUUGAAGAGUCAUAGUUAUUUUUGGAGGCAGAAUAACAUCAUGAGUGAGUUAAGAUCAUAUUAGCCAAAACAUUCUUGCAAAAAAAAAAAAAAAAAAGUUGGAGAACUUACAACGGGCACUACAAGUCCAUAGCAAUUAAGACAAGGUGGUAUCUCAUAAAAAAUAGACAUAUAGAUCCAUAGAACAGAACUGACUCUCCAAGAAACUAAUCCUUACAUUUAUGGCCAAUAAAUUUUCCACAAAGGCACCAAUGCAAUUCAAUAGGGGAAAGUAUAGUCUUUUCCAAAAAAGUUGCUAAGCCAAUCAGAUAUCUGUAUGCAAAAAGAUGAAUUUAGACCCUCAAACUUAUACAUAUGCAAAUACAAGCUGAAAUGAGUAACAGCCCUAAAUAUAAACACCUAAAACUAUAGAACACUCAGAAAGAAAACAGAAGAAUGAGAAUCUCUGAUCUGGGAUUAGGAAUCAUUUCUUAGAUAACACCAAGAAUUCAAGCAGUAGACUCUUCAAAAGACACCAGUGUGGAAGAAAAUAUCUGCAAACCAUACACUUGCUGAAGUCCUGAAUAUGUUAUAGAACUCUUACAGACCAAUAGUAACAAGGCAACCCAACUUAGAAUGUAAGAUUUGUCCCAAAAAAUACU